UACAGAGGGGGCAAGCGUUGUUCGGAAUUACUGGGCGUAAAGGGCGCGUAGGCGGCCUUCUAAGUCGAACGUGAAAUCCCCGGGCUCAACCCGGGAACUGCGUCCGAUACUGGAAGGCUUGAAUCCGGGAGAGGGAUGUGGAAUUCCAGGUGUAGCGGUGAAAUGCGUAGAUAUGUGGAAGAACACCGGUGGCGAAGGCGGUUUUCUAGCUUAUUCCUGACGCUGAUGCGUGAAAGUAAGGGGAUCAAACAGG
rnacentral:rRNA from 1 species